UGGCUGUCCGAUGGUAGUGGGUUAUCAGAACUUAUUAACAUUAGUGUCAGUAAAGUUGGUAUUCAACCCCCCACUGCUAAAUUUGGCUUAA
rnacentral:Y_RNA from 1 species